UUCUCACUUAUCAGUCAUUUGAAAGACCCCCGAAGGGAGCCCCCCACUCAAGUCUCGGGAAAGACGCGCACCCAGUAGGACACAGACACCG
rnacentral:pre_miRNA from 14 species